AAGUAUUAAAGGUAGCGCCUGCCCAGUGAAAACUUAAACGGCCGCGGUAUCCUAACCGUGCAAAGGUAGCGUAAUCAUUUGUCCUCUAAAUAAGGACCUGUAUGAAUGGCUAAAUGAGGGCCAACCUGUCUCCUUUAACCCAUCAGUGAAACUGAUCUACCAGUACAAAAGCUGGCAUAAACCCAUAAGACGAGAAGACCCUGUGGAGCUUAAAAUUUACGUCAACAGACCAGCCCAACAAACUCUACUUGACUAACAUUUUCAGUUGGGGCGACUUCGGAACAAAACCAAACUUCCGAGCAAGGGACUCAAACCCUAACAAGACCCACAAGUCCAAAUAACAUGACCCAGCAAGACUGAUAAACGAACUAAGUUACCCCAGGGAUAACAGCGCAAUCCUCUUCAAGAGUCCAUAUCGACAAGAGGGUUUACGACCUCGAUGUUGGAUCAGGACAACCAACUGGUGCAGCCGCUAUUAAUGGUUCGUUUGUUCAACGAUUAACAGUCCUACGUGAUCUGAGUUCAGACCGGAGU
rnacentral:rRNA from 1 species